UACGGAGGGUGCGAGCGUUAAUCGGAAUAACUGGGCGUAAAGGGCACGCAGGCGGGCUUUUAAGUGAGAUGUGAAAUCCCCGGGCUUAACCUGGGAAUAGCAUUUCAGACUGGGAGUCUAGAGUACUUUAGGGAGGGGUAGAAUUCCACGUGUAGCGGUGAAAUGCGUAGAGAUGUGGAAGAAUACCGAAGGCGAAGGCAGCCCCCUGGGCAAUGACUGACGCUGAGGGGCGAAAGCGGGGGGAGCAAACAGG
rnacentral:rRNA from 1 species